rnacentral:misc_RNA from 1 species
UUUUUAAUUUUUUUUGCGCGUCGUCACAAACAAAACGCACGUGCGUGACAUAUAUUAACCCCGUUUUCUUAUUUUCCAUGUUUGCGGUACGUUUUCGCUCGUUGCUCAUUAUUCACGCGUCUAGCGGCUGCGUUGUGGCGCGGCAAGCACGUUCUGAAAGGGGUCGAGGCCGUGGUAAAUACGUGGUGGUGCGGUUGAGAGGGAGGGGUGGAAACCGUGGUAAACUCGUCUCCGCAAUUGAGCGGGAGUGGCCAAAAAUAAUGUGCAAUCGUCUUUGUAGUGGAGCUGGGAGGGGCAAGCAUAAGGGACGAAGGCAGGGGUAACAUGUC